rnacentral:lncRNA from 1 species
CGAUCCAUGCGUGCGGUCCAGGGCUCAUGAGGAGAGAGAAGAAGGUCCGAAGGGCAACCUGGUAACUUCACAUCACUCGAUGGUCCGAUCUUCUCUGAUCAAGAUCCAACGCUCCACAUUUUUGCGCCAUAGGACGGCCACCAUCGCAGCCGGUCAAGAUCCAACCGUAAUCAAGGCAAUUGCAAGAAUCAAUAAACACUAAGACAACACG